rnacentral:lncRNA from 1 species
CUUACACACUUAAAGAGUCAUAUCUCUUCUAUUUAAAGAGAUAUGAAAUUGCAGUAAACACAACUAGAAUCGCAAGAAACACAAAAUCUGAACCUUGGGUGACAACUAACUCCUUCAACCUAGCAACUUCUCCUUGAAUCUCUACUAAGAAUUCCUUGACUUCUCCAAUUCAUUGCUGUUUCUGUCCAUCGUCAUUCCUAUUAUCUCUAUACGAGCCUCCUAUGCUUGGAGUUCAAUUCUGUUAAGGCUUUGCAUCCUUUCGCUGUGCUCUUCAAGUCUUAUGCUUACGAUAGUUAGCUAGUUGAUCUUCAGUGGGAUCAUUCCACCAUUUCCAUAUAUGUUUUUUUUUCACUCUUCUACACAUAAAUUUGAAUAUUGAAGAAUCAAUUUUGAUCUUACGUCCCCCCAAAAAUAUUGAUAACUAAACUACUAUAUAAAUUAGAACUUACCUCCCCAAACUCGUUGAACAUGUGUAAAACUUUUUUCCUAAAGUCGCUGCAGCGAUAGACUUUUCAAGUAUGGGAGCACGACCACAGAAACACCGCACCAUAAUUCCAAAAUCACCAUCAGUUCGAGUACAUCCAUUGUCGAAACUAGCUCGGGAGGAUGAACAUUGGCUAUAACUGAUCGGCAUUUUCAUUAUAACGAGCAAAUCGAAAUCACGCUAACAAACAACGAAAUAAAGAGACUUACAAGAAGAACAAAAUCAAAAUCACUAGAACACAAUCACAUUAACUGGGAAAAAGAUUCGUCGGAUCUUCGAUUUUGUGUUUAUCCU